AGGAUCCAGUAGGGUAUGGAAGGGCUCUACCUGGUCCAGGGAAUGCAUUGGUGAUGGCAGAAAUCUGUUUCAAUGGCAGCAGGAGGUGGGAGACUGUCCCAGUCUCUGUGGCAUCUGAAGCCUCACCUUUGGAUAUCCUGGUCACUCUUCAUUGAUGAAGAGUGAUGAAUUGCCCACCUGGAGAAGUAUUCAAAAAGGAAAGGAAGAGGAUUGAGGGAGCUCUUGCCUUGAGGAACUUGACAGCCCAGCAGGGGAGAAGACCCACCCAUUCCCAUACUAAAAGGA